ACAGCCGGCCAUAGCACACGGGCUCGACCUGGUCUCAUUCCGAACCCAGAAGUCAAACCGUGUGUCGCCGCCGUGUUAGUGAAGUCCGGAAGGCUUCGCGAAGCGGCGGUGCCGGCGCCU
rnacentral:rRNA from 1 species